rnacentral:rRNA from 1 species
AUUGAACGCUGGCGGCAGGCCUAACACAUGCAAGUCGAACGGUAACAGGAAGAAGCUUGCUUCUUUGCUGACGAGUGGCGGACGGGUGAGUAAUGUCUGGGAAACUGCCUGAUGGAGGGGGAUAACUACUGGAAACGGUAGCUAAUACCGCAUAACGUCGCAAGACCAAAGAGGGGGACCUUCGGGCCUCUUGCCAUCGGAUGUGCCCAGACGGGAUUAGCUAGUAGGUGGGGUAACGGCUCACCUAGGCGACGAUCCCUAGCUGGUCUGAGAGGAUGACCAGCCACACUGGAACUGAGACACGGUCCAGACUCCUACGGGAGGCAGCAGUGGGGAAUAUUGCACAAUGGGCGCAAGCCUGAUGCAGCCAUGCCGCGUGUAUGAAGAAGGCCUUCGGGUUGUAAAGUACUUUCAGCGGGGAGGAAGGGAGUAAAGUUAAUACCUUUACUCAUUGACGUUACCCGCAGAAGAAGCACCGGCUAACUCCGUA